rnacentral:rRNA from 1 species
AUUGAACGCUGGCGGCAGGCCUAACACAUGCAAGUCGAGCGAGCGGCGGACGGGUGAGUAAUGUAUGGGGAUCUGCCCGAUAGAGGGGGAUAACUACUGGAAAAGGUGGCUAAUACAGCAUACUAUAGGCUGCACCCAUCGGGGAUUAGAUAGUAGGUGGGGUAAAGGCUCACUUAGGCGACGAGCUCUAGCUGGUCUUCGAGGAUUCUCAGCCACACUUGUACUGAUACACGGCCCAGACUCCUACGGGAGUCAGCAGUGGGGAAUAUUGGACAAUGGGCGAAAGCCUGAUGCAGCCAUGCCGCGUGGAUGAAUAAGGCCUUAGGGUUGUAAAGUACUUUCAGCGGGGAGGCGUUACCCGCAGAAGAAGCACCGGCUAACUCCGUGCCAGCAGCCGCGGUAAUAC